rnacentral:rRNA from 1 species
CACGGGGGGAGCAAGCGUUGUUCGGAAUCACUGGGCGUAAAGGGUGUCUAGGCGGUCAGGUAAGUGAGAUGUGAAAUGCCCCGGCUUACCCGGGGACCUGCAUCUCAUACUGUCUGGCUUGAGUAUGGGAGAGGAUGAGGGAAUUCCUGGUGUAGCGGUGGAAUGCGCAGAUAUCAGGAGGAACACCGGUGGCGAAGGCGGGUCUCUGGGCAGUAACUGACGCUGAGGAGCGAAAGCGUGGGGAGCGAACAGG